UCCCGUCGCCGCCCACACUGUUGAAAGCGGCAUUUAUGAAUAUAUAAUGCGCACUUUCCUCUCAGUAAAAAAUAUAAACGCAACAAAAAUGACAGCGGUGAGAAGACAACAGUUAAAAAGGCAUCUGUUCAUGGUGAUAUUGAUAUGUUUGCACCAGCUCUGCAAUUUACCGGCAUCAAGUUGACAGAUGAGGAGCGUUUCACCUGGUGGAAACAUCAUUCUCCAUAUGCCAAGAUGAUGAGUUGGAGCAUCCUGAUCAUUAGGCCAUCAUUCUGGGCAGGUGUGCUCACUCUGAACGGAACCAGAUAAAAACAGGCACUGUUGGAUUAGGCAGACUAAGGCGACUUUGCUUGAGGAAAUAUUCAAAGACGCCCAGGGGAGCAGCCGCUCAUCCAUCACAGGCCAGCGUGGAGUCCAGCGGCGUGGCCCUGAGGAUCAGCCUGCCCACAGCAGCAAAGCAGCUAAUAGCGACACAGAACACAAGCACCCCUGGGGACGAGACCAAGCAGUCGCCUGCUACGAAAACAGAGCAGUGGAGGGGAUCAAGCCCAGCUUUGCCCUUCAAAAGGAUGAAGAACAGCCGCUUUCAGCUGACGUGACAGCUGGGUAUCAAGUUUUACAAAAAUGCUGUGAUAGAUAUUAAUAACUCUUUGUUUAUGUUGCUGGUGAGCUCCACCUGAGCAGCAGGUGCAGGGCUCUGAUAACAUCAUAACUGAGAACACACAGGUGUGAGCAAACAGGAAGGAACAAAUACACCAGCGGGUUUUGGAUGUCACUCUGGAUAGCAUUUCUCCUUGUGCGGCUCCCUGAGAGACACUGUCUGCUGAGGGUCAUAAACCAAACGGGCAAAGUCAGUGUGAGGAGGACACUGUGUUAUGAAGGAUAACACAAACCAGGGAUGGAAUACUUUCUUAAACUCUACUUAUAUAAACAUGUAUGUGAAUUAUGCGCUAUAGUUCACUAUAUGUAACAAGAACAUCUAGUUAUGUUCUGUUGUAACUUAUGUGGACUAGAUAUUUGAAUAUAUUUCUCAUGCCAUUGUUUCUGAUGCCGAUAUAUGACAGCUUAAAUGUUCUGUUGGUUUGAAUUUAGGUAAUAUUGUGUUGUGUUGAGUGGUAGUUUUCAGGGUGGGCAGUAUAGCAUGCAAGUCACAAGAGCUCAGGUUUAUGGUGAAUUCAGACGUUUCAUUUUUCAAAUAUAAUGGGUCAUUGUGCGUGUGUUCUUUGCUACUGUCCUUGAAGUACACUAUGUGGGGGUAAAAUCUGGUUUUGCAUAAGGCUGUUAGUCCUUCCCACCCUCUUUAUAUAUAUAAGGGAUGUCGA